rnacentral:rRNA from 1 species
GACGAACGCUGGCGGCGUGCCUAACACAUGCCAGUUGAGCGACGAACCAGGGCUUGCCCUGGGGCAAAGCAGCGAACGGGUGAGUAACACGAGGGUAACCUACCCCGAUAACCGGGACAACCCGAGGAAACUCGGGCUAAUACCGGAUGUGCUCACUGGACUUCGGUUCAGUGCGUAAAGGAAGCUUCGGCCUCCGUAUCGGGAGGGGCACGCGGCCCAUUAGUUUGUUGGUGUGGUAACGGCGCACCAAGACCGCGAUGGGUAGCUGGUCUGUGAGGACGAUGUGCUACACUGUGUCUGAGGCACGGCCCAAGCUGCUGCGGGAAGCAGGAGUGGGGAAUCUAGCGCAAUGCGCGAAGGUGGGACGGAGCAACGCCGGUUGAGGGAAGAAGCGCUACGGGUUGUAAACCCCUUUCAGGAGGGACGAAGGUCCGGCGGUGAAUAGCCGUCCGGACUGACGGUACCUCCACAAGAAGCCCCGGCUAACUACGUG